GCUUCGUCUAUCACAAGCCGGUUUUGUUAGCUAUUCCACGGAUUAUUCAUAAAGGCACACGUUGAAAAUGUUGUCCGCUCGCGCCGUGAUUUUUUGCCUGACGCUGCUGGCUUUACCAACGCUCAUUAACAGCAAAUUUGUUGCCUGCUACGACUCCAGUGAAAGUUGUUCUCGUUUUUGCUCACAUAACUGUUUGAGUCCUUCGUGCAAACCUGGAACAAAUACAAUUUGUCCUCACCACUACGCAUGUUACUGUGGAAAACGAUCUAGUGGCUAAAUAUUUGAGUUACUGAUGAACGUUCCUAUAAUGUCAAACUUGUUUGAAUAAAAUUUAUAUUUUUUUCCAUCGAAA